UUCUUAUAUGAAAUUUGAUUUACUCUGUUGAUGUUUCAUAUUUCAUCACGAUUUUGGGUGAGGACUAAAUUGGCUUCAUGAUGAAUGAACGAAAAGUGUUUAUAGAAACUGAAAAUAGAUUUCAAUACAAAUGUACGGAAUUGAGCCAAAUUUAAAGGAAAAAUUUACAAGAUCAAUUACACAAUUUACUGAAUAGCGUUUUCUCAAAUUAAUGAACAGAUUUGGAAAAAUUCUACACUGGAUGACAAAUAUCUAUGAUUUCGAUGACAUAAAUAUUUGCACAUCCUCAAAAUCGCAUUAAUAUAUACGCUGCUCAUUGUAAGAUUGGUUCUUUCCAAGUUAGCCAGUGCGAGACCUAAUUUAUAAAUAUGUUAAUUCGUUUAUCAAGUGCAAGCUUUAUCAAUGCAGCUUUUUGCCAGUAAAACUGCCGAUUCAUUUAUGCUCAGGAAAUUCAAAUUGGACAGUAGAUGAAAACAAGCUGAAGGAGAGUUCUAUUUGAUAAAUUUAAGAGUACAAAAAAUACGUUAUUUUUGUCUUGAAAUGGUUGGUUAAUACUUUGGAUUUAUAAUUGAGGACGUUUGAGCAUUGUGUGGAACUCGGACGAAAUUAACCAUUUUCAACUUUUGCUGCAAAUAUAAUAUUUCAGAUAAAAAUAUACGAAAAUUUAACUAAAUGAAAUAUAAUUUUAUAUACUUUUAAAAUGAAUCUAUAAUUGAUUUUGAGAAAGUACAUGAAAACAAAGUAUAUGAAAACUGAUUCAAAAUUAUUUGAAUUAUGAUAAAGGAAAAGAAUUAAAUAAUAUGUUUCAUCAUUGUUACAUGCAUAGAUGCUGCCUUGUGGUUACUGCAAUCAAAUAAUAUAACAAGUACAGAAAUUGACAAAUAUAUUAGCUCAUGGCUGUCCAAUUGUAGAAUUCGAGACAAUAGAAAAACCAAGCCAUUACCAAAUCCCAUACAACUAUAAGGAAAGUAAUAUGUUUCGUUUUCGUAUCUGAAGGAGUUGCGAAACAUUUUUAUAAACAAUGUCCUUUCUAUUAAGUGGACACGACUGCCGAUUCAUUUAUGUUCAGGAAAUACAAAUUGGACAGUAGAUGAAAACCAGCUGAAGGAGGUCUUUUCUAUCAAGUGGACAUGGUUAAAAAAUUUCUAUUAACAUCAUCAUGUUACAUAUAAAUAAUCUGCCGUUUUUUAUAAUAUUGGGCAGGAUUUCUAAAUCAGCUCAACUAAAAUAAGAAAAUUUAAUUUGCAAUAUCGCUUCUCUACUUCUAAUGUGAUCGAAGAAAUAAGUUUGUGAAAUGUAGAACCCAGAAAAACGUUUUUGUCCAGUUAUCAAAAAUUUGAAUUUUUAAGUAGUUUUAAGUAAAAAUUCUUUUGCAGAAAAAAAUACUUUUUUUUGUCUUGAAAGGGUUGUUUAAUACUUUGGAUUUAUAAUUGAAGACGUUUGAUCAAUAUAAAGUAAUUUUUAUUUCAUAAAAUUGCAAUGAAAUUUUCAUUCAUUAUUGUAAAAAAAUUUUUUCUUUUUUAGUAUUUAAAGUAU